rnacentral:rRNA from 1 species
CCUACGGGUGGCAGCAGUGGGGAAUAUUGGGCAAUGGAGGCAACUCUGACCCAGCAACGCCGCGUGAAUGAUGAAGGUCUUCGGAUUGUAAAGUUCUGUGAUGGGGGAUGAACACAAUGACGGUACCCCAAUAGCAAGCCACGGCUAACUACGUGCCAGCAGCCGCGGUAAUACGUAGGUGGCAAGCGUUAUCCGGAAUGACUGGGCGUAAAGGGUGCGUAGGUGGUUUAGUAAGUUGGCGGUGUAAUUCCGGGGCUCAACCUCGGCGCUACCGCCAAAACUAUUAGACUAGAGUGCAGGAGGGGUAAGUGGAAUUCCUAGUGUAGCGGUGGAAUGCGUAGAUAUCACGCAGAACCCCGAUUGCGAAGGCAGCAUACCGGUGCACAACUGACGCUCAGGCACGAAAGCGUGGGUAGCGAACAGGAUUAGAUACCCCAGUAGUC